CCUACGGGAGGCAGCAGUGGGGAAUAUUGCACAAUGGGCGAAAGCCUGAUGCAGCAACGCCGCGUGAGCGAUGAAGGCAUUCGGGUCGUAAAGCUCUGUCCUCAAGGAAGAUAAUGACGGUACUUGAGGAGGAAGCCCCGGCUAACUACGUGCCAGCAGCCGCGGUAAUACGUAGGGGGCUAGCGUUAUCCGGAAUUACUGGGCGUAAGGGGUGCGUAGGUGGUUUCUUAAGUCAGAGGUGAAAGGCUACGGCUCAACCGUAGUAAGCCUUUGAAACUGGGGAACUUGAGUGCAGGAGAGGAGAGUGGAAUUCCUAGUGUAGCGGUGAAAUGCGUAGAUAGUAGGAGGAACACCAGUUGCGAAGGCGGCUCUCUGGACUGUAACUGACACUGAGGCACGAAAGCGUGGGGAGCAAACAGGAUUAGAUACCCCUGUAGUC
rnacentral:rRNA from 1 species